AACGAACGCUGGCGGCAGGCUUAACACAUGCAAGUCGAGCGCCCCGCAAGGGGAGCGGCAGACGGGUGAGUAACGCGUGGGAAUCUACCCAUCUCUACGGAAUAACGCAUGGAAACGUGUGCUAAUACCGUAUACGUCCUUCGGGAGAAAGAUUUAUCGGAGAUGGAUGAGCCCGCGUUGGAUUAGCUAGUUGGUGGGGUAAAGGCCUACCAAGGCGACGAUCCAUAGCUGGUCUGAGAGGAUGAUCAGCCACACUGGGACUGGGACACGGCCCAGACUCCUACGGGAGGCAGCAGUGGGGAAUAUUGGACAAUGGGCGCAAGCCCGAUCCAGCCAUGCCGCGUGAGUGAUGAAGGCCCUAGGGUUGUAAAGCUCUUUCACCGGUGAAGAUAAUGACGGUAACCGGAGAAGAAGCCCCGGCUAACUUCGUGCCAGCCGCCGCCGUAAGAC
rnacentral:rRNA from 1 species